UACGUAGGGGGCAAGCGUUGUCCGGAUUUAUUGGGCGUAAAGAGCGUGUAGGCGGCCUGGAAGGUCAGCUGUGAAAACUGGAGGCUCAACCUUCAGAGGUCGACCGAAACCAUCUGGCUAGAGUCCGGGAGAGGAGAGUGGAAUUCCUGGUGUAGCGGUGGAAUGCGCAGAUAUCAGGAGGAACACCAAUAGCGAAGGCAGCUCGCUGGGACGUUACUGACACUGAGGCGCGAAAGCGUGGGGAGCGAACAGG
rnacentral:rRNA from 1 species